GAAAUAACGAAUUUCGAUUGGUCGUUAUUUCUACAUCGCGCCUGAACCACCGCGCGUCUACUACAAGCUGUUAGCGUCACUUGCUAAGUUGUUUACUGGAAGAUCGAUUUUAGAAUAUUACUUUCUGUGAUUAACCCGCUCAUAAUGGCAGCUACAGCAAAGAAAGGAGGAAAGAAGGCUGAUGCCCCAGCCAAGGAAAAGAAAGCAGCAAAGCCCAAGUCCCCUAAGAAAGCUGCAAAGAAGGCAGGAGCAAAAAAGGGAGUGAAGAGGGCUGGAAAGAAGGGAGGGAAGAAAGCAACCAAGGCCAAGAAGUGAUCACUUCGUUAUUAGUCAGCCUCACAAUCCAGGGAUUUUGUCAUCAAUCAUCAUUUAGAACUAGAUUUUCACUUCCUUCCUUCUCUGGCGCCUUGUUUUCAAAGACGACUGAAUCUCUUAUAUUAUAUAGACCUAUAUAAGACUGUUAUAUAGAGUAGAUAUUUAUAGAUGUGUGUACAACAAACAGUUUUAUACCCUUUUUGCACAAGAUUAUUUUGAUUUUUAAAUCAAUUUGGUUUUACAAGUUGAAAGUUGUUGACGACUUCAUAAUGGAAUUUUACACAAAUGUUUUGAUCAAGACUAUUCAAUUUUCACCAUUUUAAGUCAUAUUUAGAAAUCACUUUACAUUUUAAUUAUUAGGUAUGUAAUACUCUUCCUACAUUCUUGUGUUGAGUUGUAGGACUAUUAUUGUGAAAAUAAAAUGUGUAUAAAACUAAA